rnacentral:rRNA from 1 species
CCUACGGGAGUCAGCAGUGGGAAUAUUGCGCCAUUGGCGAAAGCCUUACGCAGCAACGCCGCGUGAAGGAAGAAGGCUUUCGGGUUGUAAACUUCUUUUCUGAGGGACGAAGAAAGUGACGGUACCUCAGGAAUAAGCCACGGCUAACUACGUGCCAGCAGCCGCGGUAAUACGUAGGUGGCAAGCGUUAUCCGGAUUUAUUUGGUGUAAAGGGCGUGUAGGCGGGAAAGCAAGUCAGAUGUGAAAACUCAGGGCUCAACCCUGAGCCUGCAUUUGAAACUGUUUUUCUUGAGUGCUGGAGAGGCAAUCGGAAUUCCGUGUGUAGCGGUGAAAUGCGUAGAUAUACGGAGGAACACCAGUGGCGAAGGCGGAUUGCUGGACAGUAACUGACGCUGAGGCGCGAAAGCGUGGGGAGCAAACAGGAUUAGAUACCCCUGUAGUC